rnacentral:rRNA from 1 species
GACGAACGCUGGCGGCGUGCUUAACACAUGCAAGUCGAACGGAAAGGCCCUGCUUUUGUGGGGUGCUCGAGUGGCGAACGGGUGAGUAACACGUGAGUAACCUGCCCUUGACUUUGGGAUAACUUCAGGAAACUGGGGCUAAUACCGGAUAGGAGCUCCUGCUGCAUGGUGGGGGUUGGAAAGUUUCGGCGGUUGGGGAUGGACUCGCGGCUUAUCAGCUUGUUGGUGGGGUAGCGGCUUACCAAGGCUUUGGCGGGUAGCCGGCCUGAGAGGGUGACCGGCCACAUUGGGACUGGGAUACGGCCCAGACUCCUACGGGAGGAAGCAGUGGGGAAUAUUGCACAAUGGGCGGAAGCCUGAUGCAGCAACGCCGCGUGCGGGAUGACGGCCUUCGGGUUGUAAACCGCUUUCGCCUGUGACGAAGCGUGAGUGACGGUAAUGGGUAAAGAAGCACCGGCUAACUACGUG